UAUAUAUAUAUAUAUAUAUAUAUAUAUAUACUUACAUUAGGUCAAAUGUGUUACUUAUCGCAUUUUUUUUUAUAUAUUGGGAACCCCGACUAUUACCCUUCAAACGCGCUGACCGAGUAAACCCAAACCCACACGCAUGAGCCUGCAACACACGCGUGGGAGGUAGAUCAGCCGUAACUGACAGACGAUAGGUGAGCGGGCAAGGAGUCGAACCCUCAACCUCUCGGUAUUUAUCGCAUUUUUAGGUAUAUGUUGCAUUACAUUUGUUCUGCCAGCAAUGCAAGAGAGCAUUAAUAUUCAUAUUCAUUUGUCUGUGACAAUAAAAUAAAAUUUUCAAAAUCCCUUUGGCAUGAACCCAAUUAUAACAUACAUUGUGAAUGACAGUAAUUAUUUAAAUUAUUUCCCCUUCUUCGUCGAUUAUUAAAGUUAUUUUUGCGCUUCAGAUUAUUUUAUCUAAAAUGUAAAUAGACUAAGACCGAUCUGGUAACGAGCAACGUGGGAUUGUGUUAAAUCGAUGAAAAAUUAUAUCUAAUUAUUUUUAAAAACAUAUUGAUUGGUUUAUUCAUAAAAAUCAUAUUUAUUUAUUUUAAUAAUUACGUUAUCAUUCAACCUGAUUCGAUUAAAUAGAUUCUGCAUUUUCUAAUCGAGAAAUAUCCAUCUAAUUAACUAACCAUACAACGGUUCUUUUUUCACCUUUUUAGUUGCGAUUAUUAAUUGGAUAAUUUAAUGAUAGUUUUAAUGUUAUGGCCCAUUAUUCAUGAGGUGGUUCUUAAGCCACCUCAGGCCAGGACCUUGCUAUUUCAUUGGAUUAUUACUAUAUAGUUUUAUCAUAUUCAUCACCCAUUAUUAUAUAUUAAUGGAGGCAUGAUAAUAUGUAAAUAUACUGAUACCACACAUUCUCAUGUUGCGAAAUUCGUUUGAUUUUGGCAAACGUUCAACAAUUUAGGCAGUCCAAAUUAAAAUUGUAUUUUUAUAUGUUUAGUUAAAUAACCUAUAUAUUUUUUUUAUUGUGAUAUAUGGAAGAACGUAUAUUUUUAUUCGAUAUAUGUGGAUAUUGUUCUUCCACAUGCACAUCUGCAUGCAGCUUUCAUGGCCUAAGUAAACGAGUUAUUUUGUCUUGGAGCCAAACAGGCCGUAUUAGGGUUUGGUGUCAUCUAAUACGACACCGUUUCGUGGUUGCCUCGCCCGACACGGCUGCGUCUCCCGUUCUAAUGAAACGACAAGCAUGUCGUUUCUCUGUCGAUAGGUCUUUGAUGAUGACAUCAGGGUUUGUUUAAAUGUUUACUGUGAGUGGGGAAGGGCUGGCGGGUGGUGGGGUCCACACGCGCACGUGGGCCAGCGAAGCACGUGAUAGUUCAUGUUACUACCACACCAACACUUUGGAGUCUUUGGUCUGUUCCUUCGCGCUCGCUUUCUUCGUGCAAUAUAAAUUUUAAUCUGAAUAUACGUACGAUUAUAUAAUAUAUGUAAGCAACGAAAUCUACGUGGAAGAGAUGUGAACACGUGGAUGAAGAUCAACGGUGCUGGUCUUUGUCAGACAAAAAUCCAACCGUCCGUUUGAGUGAUGCGUAUCUCUCUGUUCUCUAAUCUCUUCUUAAUUUUUUUUUGUAUUAUCUAAUCUCUUCUUAAUUAAAUAAUUAUUGAGCUUAAUCUU